rnacentral:rRNA from 1 species
AACGAACGCUGGCGGCAUGCCUAACACAUGCAAGUCGAACGAGACCUUCGGGUCUAGUGGCGCACGGGUGCGUAACGCGUGGGAACCUGCCCUUAGGUUCGGAAUAACUCCCCGAAAGGGGUGCUAAUACCGGAUAAUGUCUUCGGACCAAAGAUUUAUCGCCUUUGGAUGGGCCCGCGUUGGAUUAGCUAGUUGGUAGGGUAAAAGCCUACCAAGGCGACGAUCCAUAGCUGGUCUGAGAGGAUGAUCAGCCACACUGGGACUGAGACACGGCCCAGACUCCUACGGGAGGCAGCAGUGGGGAAUAUUGGAAAAUGGGCGAGAGCAUGAUCCAGCAAUGCCGCGUGAGUGAUGAAGGCCUUAGGGUUGUAAAGCUCUUUUACCCGGGAUGAUAAUGACAGUACCGGGAGAAUAAGCUCCGGCUAACUCCGUG